AUUGAACGCUGGCGGCAUGCCUUACACAUGCAAGUCGAACGGUAACGGGCCUUCGGGUGCCGACGAGUGGCGAACGGGUGCGUAAUACAUCGGAACGUGCCCGAUCGUGGGGGAUAACGAGGCGAAAGCUUUGCUAAUACCGCAUACGAUCUACGGAUGAAAGCAGGGGACCGCAAGGCCUUGCGCGGACGGAGCGGCCGAUGGCAGAGUAGGUAGUUGGUGGGAUAAAAGCUUACCAAGCCGACGAUCUGUAGCUGGUCUGAGAGGAUGAUCAGCCACACUGGGACUGAGACACGGCCCAGACUCCUACGGGAGGCAGCAGUGGGGAAUUUUGGACAAUGGGCGCAAGCCUGAUCCAGCCAUGCCGCGUGCAGGAUGAAGGCCUUCGGGUUGUAAACUGCUUUUGUACGGAACGAAAAGCCUUCUUUUAAUACAGGAGGGUCAUGACGGUACCGUAAGAAUAAGCACCGGCUAACUACGUG
rnacentral:rRNA from 1 species